rnacentral:lncRNA from 1 species
AGAACUAUGUCUUUCCCUUCGACCGUUGCACGAUAUCCUACCCCUACCAAUUGGAGUUUCUUCUCGAAUCCUUUGGAGACGCCGACAACCAUGUUAUCGGUUAGAGUCCUGGCGAGUUCAAUGCAGGAAAAAGAACAUGUUUAGAGUAAACAGAAUAAAGAUGCAUUUACACGAUCACUGCAUUUAUAUUGUCACCAGAAUUGACCAUCAGCAAGUCAUAUGAAAUGAAGAUUUCAAGUGACAAGCUAAAAGCACACAAUCGUCUAACAUGACAGCUCAAUUAGCUAAUACAGUUACACUGAGAUGAACUUUAAAGUUUAAAAGUUCAGUAUUUGUACUUGUGUCCACUCAUGUGUUUAAAAGUGCAGUAUACUGCUGAGAUGCAUGUAAAUACUUCCGGUGAUUGAUUCGAAUUACUCUACGAUAUUCUUUAUAAAGUUUUGUCCUCCAAUUACUGCUCAACGUGUUUCGAACCAACCAUUCGUACAAAUUCCACUUGAUAAGAAUUAUCCGGUCUUUCCAGUAAGACUAUAUUUCCUCUUUCAUAGUGACAAAUACAUAUACUAAGAGUACUGUCAUAGGCAGAUCAUGGGAACAAUCGCACUGCAGUCAUUGAUAACAAAUACUAUGAAUUUCAACAUGACUUAUGCCUUUUAACCUUAGUAAACUACCACAAGCACGGAUACCUGUCGUCUGCUAGUCAGUCCUACCAGUUUUUCUGUCUGUACUCCCUCUUCUGCCACCAAUAUUCACCUCUCAAGACCUUAGAAUCGUUACUACUUCGAGAGCACUAAACACCUGCUACAUUUGAAAUUUUUUGGCCUUUAACAUGUUUAGAUGAGAAAUAUGUGGAGUGGUAGCUUUUUCGCUACUUACUUUGAAGGAUCCCUAAUAUUUUUGGGUCUCCUCAAAGUAGGAAGAAGGAGCAUUUGGUCAUAUCAAUUUAUUUAGUAAGAUACAUCAAUAGCUUUAACAAAUCAAUAACGUUUAAACUACAAGGAUUGCCAGGAUUAUAACUUAGCAUGUUUACCAUAAGUAAGAAUGAAACCAAAGAAAAGAUCAAGAAACAGAGUGAUUAAAACUGCAAGAAUACCUGAAUAAACCAUGCAUUUGAUUUGCCCUUCUUGUCUCCACAGCUUUUCUGACCCUUAGAAUACCUUCCUCUUCUCUUUCAAGCUUUACUUCUCGUGGAUACGUUAUGGCCAUCU